rnacentral:rRNA from 1 species
GAUGAACGCUGGCGGCGUGCCUAAUACAUGCAAGUCGAACGAAACUUCUUUAUCACCGAGUGCUUGCACUCACCGAUAAAGAGUUGAGUGGCGAACGGGUGAGUAACACGUGGGCAACCUGCCCAAAAGAGGGGGAUAACACUUGGAAACAGGUGCUAAUACCGCAUAACCAUAGUUACCGCAUGGUAACUAUGUAAAAGGUGGCUAUACUACCGCUUUUGGAUGGGCCCGCGGCGCAUUAGCUAGUUGGUAGGGUAAAGGCUUACCAAGGCAAUGAUGCGUAGCCGAAUUGAGAGGUUGAUCGGCCACAUUGGGACUGAGACACGGCCCAAACUCCUACGGGAGGCAGCAGUAGGGAAUCUUCCACAAUGGGCGAAAGCCUGAUGUAGCAACGCCGCGUGGGUGAAGAAGGUCUUCGGAUCGUAAAACCCUGUUGUUAGAGAAGAAAGUGCGUGAGAGUAACUGUUCACGUUUCGACGGUAUCUAACCAGAAAGCCACGGCUAACUACGUG